rnacentral:rRNA from 1 species
CUACGGGGCGCACCAGUGGGGAAUAUUGCACAAUGGGCGCAAGCCUGAUGCAGCCAUGCCGCGUGUAUGAAGAAGGCCUUCGGGUUGUAAAGUACUUUCAGCGGGGAGGAAGGGAGUAAAGUUAAUACCUUUGCUCAUUGACGUUACCCGCAGAAGAAGCACCGGCUAACUCCGUGCCAGCAGCCGCGGUAAUACGGAGGGUGCAAGCGUUAAUCGGAAUUACUGGGCGUAAAGCGCACGCAGGCGGUUGUUUAAGUCAGAUGGGAAAUCCCCGGGCUCAACCUGGGAACUGCAUCUGAUACUGGCAAGCGUGAGUCUCGUAGAGGGGGGUAGAAUUCCAGGUGUAGCGGUGAAAUGCGUAGAGAUCUGGAGGAAUACCGGUGGCGAAGGCGGCCCCCUGGACGAAGACUGACGCUCAGGUGCGAAAGCGUGGGGAGCAAACAGGAUUAGAUACCCCCGUAGUC